rnacentral:misc_RNA from 1 species
GAUGAAGAACGCAGCGAAAUGCGAUAAGUAAUGUGAAUUGCAGAAUUCAGUGAAUCAUCGAAUCUUUGAACGCACAUUGCGCCCGCCAGUAUUCUGGCGGGCAUGCCUGUUCGAGCGUCAUUUCAACCCUCAAGACCCCUUCGGGGGACUUGGUGUUGGGGACCGGCACAGGGGCCUGCCUGCUUGUCUUGCAGCGCCCUCGCUGCCCCCGAAAUGAAUUGGCGGCCUCGUCGCGGCCUCCCCUGCGUAGUAGCACAACCUCGCAACGGGAACGUGACGGCGGCCACUGCCGUAAAACAACCCCAAUUUUAUUAGAGUUGACCUCGAAUCAGGUAGGAAUACCCGCUGAACUUAAGCAUAUCAAUAAGCGGAGGA